ensembl:lncRNA
AGCGGCAGUCUUUCUGUCUGCCCCCUGGAGCAGCCGUAUGCCUUGCUGUGGGCCUGUCCUUGGCCUCCUGGGUCCAGGGGCUGUCUUCCUCUCAGGGCAGUCCUUGUCCCUCUUGCUGGAGGGGUUCGGGGUUUGACUCGGAGUUGAAGGUUGACCUUGAGGGCUUCAGUAGAGAGGUGCAAUGUCAUGCCCGCCUGGUCAGCCGCCUGUGGGCUCAGAGAGACACUUCCUGGGGGUAAUGGGGACCUCGCUGAGUCCCAGCCCUCUGUUCCCCAUUCCCUUUGCACAUGCAUGAAUAGCCUCCUCGGGGCCCGGUCGCCUCAUCUGUAAAGUGGCCAUAAUCACAGUGCCUGUCCUCAGAGACACACCACCUAGCGGGUGUCCGGGGAAGACCUGCCCCGUGGCCUCGAGGCCACCCUGUGGGGUCAGCAACUUGAGGCUCCUUGGCCGAGCCCCGGGGAGGUCCCCGAGCCACGUGUCUGUGCCGCGCAGGGAGCGGCAGGCAGCCUCCAAGCAGGUGCGCGGGCCGAGAAGAGGCUGAAGGACGUGCUGCUGCAGGUGGAUGACGAGCGCAGAAGCGCGGAGCAGUACAAAGACCAGGCUGACAAGGCGUCCACGCGCCUGAAGCAGCUCAAGCGGCAGCUAGAGGAGGCCGAGGAAGAGGCCCAGCGGGCCAACGCCUCCCGCCGGAAGCUGCAGCGCGAGCUGGAGGGCGCCACGGAGACGGCCGACGCCAUGAACCGGGAGGUCAGCUCCCUGAAGAACAAGCUGAGGCGUGGGGACAUGCCCUUUGUCGUACCCCGCCGAAUGGCCCGGAAAGGUGCUGGCGACUGCUCAGACGAGGAGGUGGAUGGCAAAGUGGAUGGGGCCGAGGCCAAGCCUGCUGAAUAGGCCGCUUCUCCUGCCUCCUGGUGGACGUGGACGGACAGAUGACUCCGCACCUCUCCCCGCCCCUGCAGUGCCCCGCCUCGCCUAGGGACUGCUGUGACCGGGACCCCUUCCCCCAGCCCUGUUGAGGGCAUUGGCUUCCUCGGCUGCAGCCCUCCAGCCCCUCCCCUCUCCGAGAAUCUGAUACCAAAGAGUCAGGGCCGGGCGCAUGCCCAGAAAGCGUGACCAGCAGGUCUGUACCCUCUCUUGCCUGAAAGCACCGGUGGCGAGGCAAGGUGGGCAGGCUGCGGGGCCAGCCGCCGUUUUCUGUGAGUCUAUUUUUCUUCAGACUAAAGGAGUUUUGAUAGCCCGACACCCAGAAGCGUUGUGACCUUCCCCCUGCCUCGCCAUCGGCUCCUCCCUCCUCCUCCCUUGUCUGCUGUUGGCAAUCACAUGUGCUGACCUCAUGCCUCUGUCCCAUCAGACUCCCACCCUCCUGGGCCCUGAGUGGUCCGGAUGGAGCGGCCCUGGGUUCCACCCCUGUGCAGGGCACACAAUGUGGGGGCAAGGGAGGCUCUCCCCACCCCCCUCUGGGCAGUGCCACUGUCACCGCCCCUCCUGAUUCCAAGAUGUCUCAAGUGCAAUGCCACCUCCCCUCCUUUGCCGAGGGCAGCCCGCCCCUGCACAGCAAGGCUGUCAGGCCAAGCAGACAGGGUGUCGGCCGUGCUGGAAGGGCCAGCAGCCUUCUGGUGGCUUCUCCUAACACUCUUGGGGACCAAAUAUAUUUAAUGGUUAAGGGACUUGUCCCAGAUCUGGCAGCCAGAGCACCAGAGAAGGCUGGUGGCCCUCCACGUGAUCCUGUGCCUCCUCCAGGGCUGGGGCCCGAGGGCAGCUUAUCUGCACUGUUGACUCCGUACAAUUGAAAAUCUGCCACCUGCACAGAUUAUUUUUGAAAGGAAAAAAAAGUUUUCUUUUCUCCCCUUCUUGUAAUAAAUGAUACAAUUCUGAGUCUGUCACUGCAUUUCCUUUGGAACCAUGUUUAGAAGAGAGUAGCUUGUCCUACACUGGUCUACACUGGUUGCUGAAUUUACUUGUAUUUCUAACUGUUUUGUAUAUGCUGCAUUUAGACUUACUUAUGGCAAGAAGGCAUUUUUUUUAAAAAAAGGAAACAAACUCAAAUCAUGAAGCUACAUAUGCCUAAAAAGCUCUGAAUUCAGGUCCCAGUUGCUGUCUCAAAGGAGUGAAUGGAACUCCGAGCCACCCCCUUUUAUAUAAUACAAAGUGCCUUAGCAUGUGUUGCAGCUGCCACCACUACAGCAAGCUGGUUUACAGAUGUUUUCCACUGAGAGUCACAAUAAAGAGUACCAUGUGCUACGAGCCGCGUCUGUGGUGUCCGUCUGCAGAGAGGGCGCCCGGGAGGGGCCGUGCUGUG